UACGUAGGGUGCAAGCGUUAAUCGGAAUUACUGGGCGUAAAGCGUGCGCAGGCGGUUAUGUAAGACAGAUGUGAAAUCCCCGGGCUUAACCUGGGAAUGGCAUUGGUGACUGCACGGCUAGAGUGUGUCAGAGGGGGGGUAGAAUUCCACGUGUAGCAGUGAAAUGCGUAGAGAUGUGGAGGAAUACCGAUGGCGAAGGCAGCCCCCCUGGGAUAACACUGACGCUCAUGCACGAAAGCGUGGGGAGCAAACAGG
rnacentral:rRNA from 1 species